rnacentral:rRNA from 1 species
AGCGAACGCUGGCGGCAGGCUUAACACAUGCAAGUCGAACGGGCAUCUUCGGAUGUCAGUGGCAGACGGGUGAGUAACACGUGGGAACGUACCCCUCGGUUCGGAAUAACUCAGGGAAACUUGAGCUAAUACCGGAUACGCCCUUUUGGGGAAAGGUUUACUGCCGAAGGAUCGGCCCGCGUCUGAUUAGCUUGUUGGUGGGGUAACGGCCUACCAAGGCGACGAUCAGUAGCUGGUCUGAGAGGAUGAUCAGCCACACUGGGACUGAGACACGGCCCAGACUCCUACGGGAGGCAGCAGUGGGGAAUAUUGGACAAUGGGCGCAAGCCUGAUCCAGCCAUGCCGCGUGAGUGAUGAAGGCCUUAGGGUUGUAAAGCUCUUUUGUCCGGGACGAUAAUGACGGUACCGGAAGAAUAAGCCCCGGCUAACUUCGUG